rnacentral:tRNA from 3 species
GGUGGGGUGCCGGAGUGGCCGAACGGGAUGGUCUCGAAAACCAUAGGCCAGUGGCCUACGCGAGUUCGAAUCUCGCCCCCACCGCCA